GACGAACGCUGGCGGCGUGCUUAACACAUGCAAGUCGAACGAUGAACCCGGAGCUUGCUCCGGUGGAUUAGUGGCGAACGGGUGAGUUACACGUGAGUAACCUGCCCUUGACUCUGGGAUAACUGCGGGAAACUGUAGCUAAUACCGGAUACGAAGCCUUGGGGCAUCCCAGGGCUUGGAAAGAAUUUCGGUGAAGGAUGAGCUCGCGGCCUAUCAGCUAGUUGGUGAGGUAAUGGCUCACCAAGGCGACGACGGGUAGCCGGCCUGGGAGGGUGACCGGCCACACUGGGACGGAGACACGGCCCAGACUCCUACGGGAGGCAGCAGUGGGGAAUAUUGCACAAUGGGCGAAAGCCUGAUGCAGCAACGCCGCGUGAGGGAUGAAGGCCUUCGGGUUGUAAACCUCUUUUAGUAGGGAAGAAGCGCAAGUGACGGUACCUACAGAAAAAGCACCGGCUAACUACGUGCCAGCCGCCGCGGUAAGAC
rnacentral:rRNA from 1 species